rnacentral:rRNA from 1 species
UACGAGGGGGGCAAGCGUUGUUCGGAAUUAUUGGGCGUAAAGGGCGCGUAGGCGGUGCGGUAAGUCACCUGUGAAAACUCUGGGCUCAACUCAGAGCCUGCAGGCGAAACUGCCGUGCUGGAGUGUGGGAGAGGUGCGUGGAAUUCCCGGUGUAGCGGUGAAAUUCGUAGAUAUCGGGAGGAACACCGGUGGCGAAGGCGGCGACCUGGUUCGAUACUGACACUGAGGUGCGAAAGCGUGGGGAGCAAACAGG